rnacentral:rRNA from 1 species
AUGGCGUCCUCUAUCUCCGGGCAACGUCCACAGAAGGACUCGAGAGUCGAGACUCGAGAAGCUCCUGCAUGCGCCACCGGGGACCGUCGCGCUGUCGGCGGCAACCGCAGACAUGGCGUGGAGAGGAGAGUGGGCGGUCCGGCAUCGGCGCAGGCGAAGAAGAGGCCCUCGAAUCGGCGGAGGCGACGCUCCUGCAGUCGCUGGCGACGUAGCAGGUGCUCCCUCAGGCGGACCCCUCUUCGUCCGGCAGGCUAUCCGGGUGCACGGCCGUCGCCGCGCACGUCAAUCUCGGCUUGCUGCCGAUGA